rnacentral:misc_RNA from 1 species
GAGAAUUAAAAGGAAAAUCAAUAAAAUUGAUACUUCACUUAAUUUCAUAGAAAAUAACUAAUCGCUCCCAAAUGAAUACAAAGAGAGAAAAUGAAACGACCUGAGAAGUACUAAUUUGGAACACUAUUUACGCCAACAUUUUACAGUUUAAAUCCCAUAUGAGCAAGCAUCAUGUAACAUAAUUACGGCAUUUAUCUUCCACUAGACACCAAAAAAACUUCCUUCUUCUUUUCUUGAUUCACACAUUGUCUUACAACUUUUAAAGAGGUGAAUGUCAGCUCCUAACAUAUAGAAGAAUGGUUCUCUUAGCAUUUAAGUGCACCUAUAUACAACAAACCACCUACUAGCCCAACUAAUAUAGCCAAUUGAUCCAAAUGGCACCCAGCUGAACAGCUCGCUGUAGUUUAACCAAAUCUGAGCUCAUCUAAGUUCCAGUAAUAUACCACAAAUUUUUUGCUCAUCCAAUUCUGACUGCACGCCUAAGGUUGUUAAGUGGGACUUUUUCCUGAGAAGGGGAGCAACAUUAUCAAUCGCCAAUAGAUUCUCCUUGCUCCGGGGAAUGGCUCUUGACUUUAAGGACCUUUUGACUUUCACUGAAGUACUGGUUAGGAUGAUUAAUCCCAGCAUCACAUGAUAAACCAUGAAUAGCUUCAAAUGUCAGUGUGCACGCCUACUGAUAAUGUCUAUUUCGCACUUCGUCCAUUACAUCCUCCACCGCACCACAGUUUACUCCCAUUCCACUGAGCACAGCCCUCAAGUUUUCUUCACUUUCAUGCCAAAAACACACUCAAGUAUCAUGUGAAUCCAAUACAUUUGUAGAACAUCAUAAAAAUAAUAAGUAAUUUUUUUUUCUUAAUUUAAAAUAAGAAAAUAAUAUAAAAUGAAAUAGAAUAGCUAAUAAAUUCCAGGAAUCAAAUCAUCAAUGUCAGCAUCCACAGAUUCUAAAAAAAUACCAUAAACAAAAUGCAAGUGUCAUCAGGUACCUUCUACUUGGAUUUAGAAUAUCAAGUCAAAUUUUGCAUGUUGUCUUUGACUAAGAAGCCCACGUGCUAUGAGGCUUAGUAUAGAACAGAAGUUGAUAGUACCAACAAAUUUAAAGGAGCUGCAUGCAGAUAAAAAAAGUUGGAAGCAAGGAACAAAAACUUCUAAUUAUACUGUUUUGCAAGGGUCAUUGCUUUCAAAAAUACUGUAGCCCUCAAAAAGCUGUCACUAGAAUUCUUGAUGAAAUGCACCAAAGUAUAGUAUAUUCCUUAAUAAUUGGUUAGCCAUGGUUUGGAUGUUCCCCAGUCCGUAUGAAGGAUGAGAACUGAAAUGCAGAUAAGGACAGCCAUGAUGAUCUCCAACACCAGGAGUUAAAGAGAUGAUCUUUUGACAAGAAUAAGGUUUAUAAUCUUCUCUCUCCCUCUCUUCCAUAAUUAUGGCGUAUGCUGUAGGCGUAUUCUUUGUCAAACCUCUCUGCACCAACCUUUUGGGAGAACUCUGCUUUCCAGAAUGCAAGUGCAUCAUCCAAUUUCAAACCAACACCCUUGAGAAAAAGACCUAACUGCAUCCUUCCUCCAUGCUUUAAAUGAUGAUCUUCUCUGAGUUUUUCAAACAGGUGGCUCUUGCAUAGAGGGAAUGAACUCUUAGCUACCAAGUCAAUGUCUUUAAUUGAUAAGUCAGCAAAUUCUUUAGGCUGAGAAUAGUCAGGACCCAGAUAGCUUGAGCAGAGUGCUUCCACAAUAGGAGUUAAGCGAUCCUUUUCCUGUUCUCUGAUCAUCGAUGUCCAUUUCCUGCAAAUAAAAAUCCCUCAUUCGCAAAAAUGUGUAAAAGGAGCCUAAGACUUGUGGAGCCAUGCAAAGCUUUUGUUAUAUGCAGCAGCACAUCCUGCGGAUGUGUCAUAUUUACUUUCCAUAGGUCAUUUACCAAAUUUUCCAUUUCUUCAGGCUUUUUCCCGCGAGACAAUCCAUCAGAGAUACCUUUAAGAACUCGAAGGUGAUCCAUGGCGUAGAGCUCGAAAUCUUCGAGUCUGACCUCAAGAACGGGGCAGAGCGAUAGAGGGGGAGUGUCGAAACGACGUCGUUGGAUGGACGCUUCCACUGAGGUCGAACUAUCUCCAUUUUUAUAUAUAACUAUCUCUCUGAUCUCUCGCACACAAACAAAGAGUAACUGCAGGAGCAGGAGGAAAGUGCUGAGUGCAGACAAAUGGAAGGGUGGACACACGAUUUUUCCUUGCUUUCAUCUGCG